UCAACACUACGCGAGGUAAGGAAUUGC
rnacentral:piRNA from 1 species